CAGCCGCCGCGGGAAUACGGAGGGGGCUAGCGUUGUUCGGAAUUACUGGGCGUAAAGCGCACGUAGGCGGCUUGGUAAGUUAGAGGUGAAAGCCUGGAGCUCAACUCCAGAAUUGCCUUUAAGACUGCCGAGCUAGCAGGUGAGAGAGGUAAGUGGAAUUCCGAGUGUAGAGGUGAAAUUCGUAGAUAUUCGGAAGAACACCAGUGGCGAAGGCGGCUUACUGGCUCAUACUGGACGCUGAGGUGCGAAAGCGUGGGGAGCAAACAGGAUUAGAGACCCCGGUAGUCCCUGUCUCUUAUAA
rnacentral:rRNA from 1 species